AAGUCCCGUAACGAGCGCAACCCCCGUUCCCAGUUGCCAGCGCGUAAUGGCGGGGACUCUGGGAAGACUGCCGGUGCCAAACCGGAGGAAGGUGGGGACGACGUCAAGUCAUCAUGGUCCCUACGUCUAGGGCUACACACGUGCUACAAUGGCCGGUACAGAGGGUUGCGAGCCAGCGAUGGCAAGCCAAUCCCCGAAAGCCGUCCUCAGUGCGGAUUGGAGGCUGCAACUCGCCUCCAUGAAGCUGGAAUCGCUAGUAAUCGUGGAUCAGCUACGCCACGGUGAAUACGUUCCCGGGCCUUGUACACACCGCCCGU
rnacentral:rRNA from 1 species